rnacentral:lncRNA from 9 species
CCAGGAGAGAGAAAAGAGUAAGAAAGCUGGUAGAAUGAGCACACAUCAUCAUACUGGCUGAGAACUGAUGCUCACAAAUGCAUAGAGCUCACACAUGAGUCAAGGCAUGCUCCAUGUGAAGGCUGUUGAUGACCCUCCUAUGUGUGACUUUGUCCUGUUUCGAUUGGAGUUGCUUGGAAUGACAACAAUACAGAAAAGAGAGACUUCAACCUCACCCUUUGGAUGAAGUGUUUCAUAGUGUCCUUUAUAGCUUCUAUCAACUUUAUCUGAAUCCAUGAUAGAGGUGGUUCUUUUGGCCUGCAUCACAGAAUGAAUGGUAGUCUGGAACAGAGCUACAGGCAAUCUGCAAAGAGCAUAUGCUAUGAAAAAAAAUAAUCUCCUCUUAUUGUACAUUGCUAAGAUUUUGG